rnacentral:rRNA from 1 species
UACGUAGGGGGCGAGCGUUGUCCGGAUUUAUUGGGCGUAAAGAGCUCGUAGGCGGUUCGGUAAGUCAGGUGUAAAAACUCCAGGCUCAACUUGGAGAGGCCACCUGAUACUGCCGUGACUAGAGUCCGGUAGAGGAGCACGGAAUUCCUGGUGUAGCGGUGAAAUGCGCAGAUAUCAGGAGGAACACCAGCGGCGAAGGCGGUGCUCUGGGCCGGAACUGACGCUGAGGAGCGAAAGCGUGGGGAGCGAACAGG